rnacentral:rRNA from 1 species
AGAGUUUGAUUAUGGCUCAGGACGAACGCUGGCGGCGUGCUUAACACAUGCAAGUCGAGCGGAAAGGCCCUUCGGGGUACUCGAGCGGCGAACGGGUGAGUAACACGUGAGUAACCUGCCCCUGACUCUGGGAUAAGCCUGGGAAACUGGGUCUAAUACCGGAUACGACAUUCUCUCUCAUGAGAUGGGUGUGGAAAGUUUUUUCGGUUGGGGAUGGACUCGCGGCCCAUCAGCUUGUUGGUGAGGUAACGGCUCACCAAGGCGACGACGGGUAGCCGGCCUGAGAAGGCGACCGGCCACACUGGGACUGAGACACGGCCCAGACUCCUACGGGAGGCAGCAGUGGGGAAUAUUGCGCAAUGGGCGGAAGCCUGACGCAGCGACGCCGCGUGGGGGAUGACGGCCUUCGGGUUGUAAACCUCUUUCAGCAGGGACGAAGUUGACGUGUACCUGCAGAAGGAGCGCCGGCUAACUACGUGCCAGCAGCCGCGGUAAUACGUAGGGCGCAAGCGUUGCCCGGAAUUAUUGGGCGUAAAGAGCUCGUAGGUGGCUUGUCGCGUCGGUUGUGAAAGACCCGGGCUUAACUCGGGUUCUGCAUUCGAUACGGGCAGGCUAGAGGUAGGUAGGGGAGAACGGAAUUCCUGGUGUAGCGGUGAAAUGCGCAGAUAUCAGGAGGAACACCGGUGGCGAAGGCGGUUCUCUGGGCCUUACCUGACGCUGAGGAGCGAAAGCGUGGGGAGCGAACAGGAUUAGAUACCCUGGUAGUCCACGCUGUAAACGUUGGGCGCUAGGUGUGGGACCCUUCCACGGGUUCCGUGCCGGAGCUAACGCAUUAAGCGCCCCGCCUGGGGAGUACGGCCGCAAGGCUAAAACUCAAAUGAAUUGACGGGG